AAUAUUUCUUUUAUUCAUUCCACAAUCAAUUAUGCAGGUUAUAUAUUCUGUCUACAGAGUCAUCUCACGGUCACGUGUCAUGGAUCUCGCUGCAUUCAACGGCGGCCUGUUUGUUUCACACCUGUGAGAUCGAUGAUCCGAGCUGGAAGCUUGGACGCUCAUCACCGGGAUUUGCGAGACGACCAACUGGUCAAUGCAAUCAUAAUCGUUUUCCUGUCUGGCCAAGCAUCUCCUCCCAGCUCUUCCCCACGUGGGCCUCCUAGUACUAAAUUCAGCCCGGGCGGCGUCCUGUCUCCUCGGACCUCCCGGCGGUCGUCUGCUCGGCUCGUCGCCGCCGUCGGCAAACAGCGGUGGCACCUGGUGGCUGGUGGCCAACCGCCCGGUGAUCCGCCAUGAGCACCUACUUCGUAGGCCACCCAACGGCCUACACAGCGGCAGAGCCGGGGACGAGACAGGAGCCCCAGGUCAACGGCGGCGCUGAGAAGAAACCAGUGAGCACGCAAGCUCCUGGUCCGAACAGACGGCUACUUCGUCGGUCACCCGGUGACCCUUGAGGGGAAGCAGCCGGCACCAGCACCGCCACCGCCACCGCCGCCACCGCCUGCUAGAAACAAUGGAUCGGGCUUCCUGGCAAAAUGGACCUCUUGCCUCUUCGGUGAUGGAGCUUCGGCAGAGCAAUAAUACCAAGAGUUGUGGCGACGGUGGAGCAGAGCAUAGUGCAAGGUUGAGAACAGAGAAGGUUCAAUCAAAUUGGAUGGAGGAGCUUCAAUUGUACCUGAAUUAUUGCCACCAAUAUGUCCAAUGGAGGAAGCUGCUCUUUGUUCUUCAACGGUCCUUUGUUGCUCGUUCCAGCAAAUGCAGAUGCAAUAAAACUGCCAAUUCCAAUAUGCCGGUGCCCAUUUUUCGCAAGCGCUAGACGUUGACUUUUUCUCUCUAAAUGAUGGUUUAGUUGUCCUUUAUCGCUCUCAAAAAUAUCAGUGAUGCAUCAGUUGACAUGUUUUGUGACUUGAGUAUGGAUUUUCCCUAUAUGCUUAAAGUCUGAAUAUACAGACUUGUAAAUUUGCCAUCUAAAAUCAACAGGCAAAACCACAGUUUCCUACUUUA